AGGUGUUUUCUUUGUAGAUGUUUCCGCAUUUGAAGUGAAAGGAAAAGAAACAACAACACGCACAAAACCGAACCCUUGAACACAAUAUACUACAUAUACCGCUAAAUAAAUUCUACAGGAAAAGUUGCAGAAUGCAUGACUGUGAAAUUCGGCCGAAUUUCAAUUUUGCUUAACGCAGGCAAUAAUAUGGGAAGAAUAAAUAAUGCCUUGCACAGCAGCAAAAAAUUAUUAUAUUUUUAGAAAAAAAAAACAAUUACUUUCUCAUACAUAGGCAUAUGUAUGUAUAUUUGCUACAAAGCAUGGAUUAAAUAAAUGAGUGAAAAGCGUUGGCUAUGCGAAAAGAAAAAGUAAAGCAAUAAACUCAAAAAAAAAAAACAUUGCAACGCGGGUUGAGGCAUUUAUGUGCCUAAGUAAAAAAGCACAAAUGGCAGCAACAUCUGUUGAAUGCCAAUGUAAUCGAUUGGAAUUACAACAAAAGCCAAGUUAAUUGAACAAUAUGAGCAUGGAAUGUGCACAUAAAAAAAUACAUAUACAUUCACACAUGCGAAAGUAAAAAGGUAUUUGAGAUUUUUUUUUCACCGACAAUAGC